UCUGUUGUUUUCAUAUAGACUGGCAUGGUACC
rnacentral:piRNA from 1 species